GGACACUCCAGUCUAGAUUUUAAGACUUCAACAGGGGCUCAAACAUAUGAAAGAAGCUAUUGUAGCCAGUUAAAGUAAUCCAUUGAAGAUAACUAACAUUUUAAAACACAUCAUCUGAGAAUACUUCUCAUUUCAGCUCUGGGCAGGUUUUGGUCCAGAAGCAGGAUUUUACACUUUCAAAGCAAAUACAACGAGCUAACAGAACAAAUAAUAAAAUGCAUCUAAUUGAAUCCCUCCCUGUUGAAACCAAAUAAAGUCUUCUUAAUCAUGCCAUAUCUGUGAUCAUAUCCACUUUGGUGACUAUUGAGUCUAGCCUCUUUUUUUAAAAAACAGAAGCUAGCCACACACAGCUCAUCACAAUAUAAAAAAAUGUAGAAUAUAAUCUCAAAGCAAACACUGCUGCAGUACCUCUGCAAAGCAAAAUAAUACUGAGGUGCUACAGCCUCUUCUCAAACUAUGCAUGAAAUUGCCACUGACAUCUGCUGGGACUCAGCAUGCAGCAAAAAAGCAGGAUGUGGCCUCAUGAAGCAAACUGCUUCAGAGUGCUUCAUAAACAACGUACCAGCCCAAGGCAGAGCCCUGCACCUCUCGUUCAUACAGAAUGCCCACAGGUCAGCAGGAGAGCUUCAUCUGCAAUGGUGUGAACAACACGGCUGGAGAAGCUUAAGAUUUUGGUAACAGGUCUUCACAUCAUAAUCCUGUUGAAAAAGAUUAGAUGAAUGGAGAAUCCCAUUUCUUAUACAUCAUCUCAGCUGGACACUAGCUGAACACUGAGCUUGGAAGGCACAUAAGCAAGGAAAGUGCA